rnacentral:lncRNA from 1 species
CUAUAAAGUCAAAAUAACAUCUAUAAGGUUUCUAAGAAGCUUCCAUAGUAAAUAUUAUAGAAUUUAUUUACUUUUAUCUACUUUUACUUACUUCUACCUAUUGUCAUGGACACAAAAAUACAGACUCGAGAUCUAACAAGAAGUUCAAGAAGAAUUGACAAGAACUAGAUUAAUCAGAUGAGAACAACACCAAAGAGGUGAGCUAGAGCUCCAAGAAAU